GAUAUAUCUCAGUGGGUAGAGUCCUUGCCUUGCAUGCAUAAGGCCCUGGGUUCGAUCCCCAGCAAAACA
rnacentral:tRNA from 1 species